ensembl:snRNA U5 U5 spliceosomal RNA
AGGCUUUGGUUUCUCUUCAAAACGAAUACAUCUUUUGCCUUUUACUGCAGAUUUCCGUGGAGAGUAACAGCUGUUAGUAACUUUUUUUUUUUUUUUUUUUUUAGGGGUCCUGCUUGGGCAGGGCCAAGUAAAAAAGA